rnacentral:rRNA from 1 species
GAGUUUGAUCCUGGCUCAGGACGAACGCUGGCGGCGCGCCUAACACAUGCAAGUCGAACGAGCGGGAGAGAGCUUGCUUUCUCAAGCGAGUGGCGAACGGGGGAGUAACGCGUGAGGAACCUGCCUCAAAGAGGGGGACAACAGUUGGAAACGACUGCUAAUAUCGCAUAAGCCCACGGUGCCGCGUGGCACAGAGGGAAAAGGAGCAAUCCGCUUUGAGAUGGCCUCGCGUCCGAUUAGCUAGUUGGUGAGGUAAUGGCCCACCAAGGCGACGAUCGGUAGCCGGACUGAGAGGUUGAACGGCCACAUUGGGACUGAGACACGGCCCAGACUCCUACGGGAGGCAGCAGUGGGGAAUAUUGCACAAUGGGGGAAACCCUGAUGCAGCGACGCCGCGUGGAGGAAGAAGGUCUUCGGAUUGUAAACUCCUGUUGUUGAGGAAGAUAAUGACGGUACUCAACAAGGAAGUGACGGCUAACUACGUGCCAGCAGCCGCGGUAAAACGUAGGUCACAAGCGUUGUCCGGAAUUACUGGGUGUAAAGGGAGCGCAGGCGGGAAGACAAGUUGGAAGUGAAAUCUAUGGGCUCAACCCAUAAACUGCUUUCAAAACUGUUUUUCUUGAGUAGUGCAGAGGUAGGCGGAAUUCCCGGUGUAGCGGUGGAAUGCGUAGAUAUCGGGAGGAACACCAGUGGCGAAGGCGGCCUACUGGGCACCAACUGACGCUGAGGCUCGAAAGUGUGGGUAGCAAACAGGAUUAGAUACCCUGGUAGUCCACACCGUAAACGAUGAUUACUAGGUGUUGGAGGAUUGACCCCUUCAGUGCCGCAGUUAACACAAUAAGUAAUCCACCUGGGGAGUACGACCGCAAGGUUGAAACUCAAAGGAAUUGACGGGGGCCCGCACAAGCAGUGGAGUAUGUGGUUUAAUUCGACGCAACGCGAAGAACCUUACCAAGUCUUGACAUCCUCUGACGAACGUAGAAAUACGUUUUCUCUUCGGAGCAGAGAGACAGGUGGUGCAUGGUUGUCGUCAGCUCGUGUCGUGAGAUGUUGGGUUAAGUCCCGCAACGAGCGCAACCCUUAUGGUCAGUUACUACGCAAGAGGACUCUGGCCAGACUGCCGUUGACAAAACGGAGGAAGGUGGGGAUGACGUCAAAUCAUCAUGCCCUUUAUGACUUGGGCUACACACGUACUACAAUGGCGUUAAACAAAGAGAAGCAAGACCGCGAGGUGGAGCAAAACUCAGAAACAACGUCCCGGUUCGGACUGCAGGCUGCAACUCGCCUGCACGAAGUCGGAAUUGCUAGUAAUCGCAGAUCAGCAUGCUGCGGUGAAUACGUUCCCGGGCCUUGUACACACCGCCCGUC